CUUCCAGUAGCACCUUAGAGACCAACUAAGUUUGUUAUUGGUAUGAGCUUUCGUGAGCAAACUUAGUUGAGCUCUAAGUUGCUACUGGAAG